AGUGAACGCUGGCGGUAGGCCUAACACAUGCAAGUCGAACGGCAGCACAGUAAGAGCUUGCUCUUACGGGUGGCGAGUGGCGGACGGGUGAGGAAUACAUCGGAAUCUACUUUUUCGUGGGGGAUAACGUAGGGAAACUUACUCUAAUACCUCAUACGACCUACGGGUGAAAGCAGGGGAUCUUCGGACCUUGCGCGAUUGAAUGAGCCGAUGUCGGAUUAGCUAGUUGGCGGGGUAAAGGCCCACCAAGGCGACGAUCCGUAGCUGGUCUGAGAGGAUGAUCAGCCACACUGGAACUGAGACACGGUCAAGACUCCUACGGGAGGCAGCAGUGGGGAAUAUUGGACAAUGGGCGCAAGCCUGAUCCAGCCAUACCGCGUGGGUGAAGAAGGCCUUCGGGUUGUAAAGCCCUUUUGUUGGGAAAGAAAAGCAGCAGGUUAAUACCCAGCUGUUCUGACGGUACCCAAAGAAUAAGCACCGGCUAACUUCGUG
rnacentral:rRNA from 1 species